GAAGAGUUAUACUAGAGACACCAUCUCUAUCCAAGCAGUGAUUGCAUUCGACAUAAACCGGCGAACCGAUUUAAGCACUCAACAUCUAUCUAUGACAAUCAGUUUGUGAACUAUCUAUCAAUAGUGUAAAACCACUGGCAUCGCUACCAUGAGACAAAACAGAGCACUGCAUCAAGUCAAUCUCUUCCCAUAAAAUAACCAGAGAAAAGUUCACAAUCCCAUAAUACUUUCACCUAAAAGUAGUGCAAGUACUAAGAUCAUGGCGUUGAUUACAAAAUGAUGUUAUAACAAAGCACUGUCUACAUAAGAGUUCACAGUCUCCAAGUACAGAGAAGCCAUCUUCAUGAAUGGAGCUCAUCACUGCGGUGGUUGCCCCUCACCAGACUCCCGUUUCGAAGAUUCCUUGAU